GUGCUCAGUACAGCAGCACAUAUAUUCUAAAAUUGGAAUGAUUCAGAGGAGAAUAACAUGGCCCUUGUGCAAAGAUGACAUGCAAAUUCAUCAAGUGUUUUU
ensembl:snRNA U6 U6 spliceosomal RNA